rnacentral:rRNA from 1 species
GUGCCAGCAGCCGCGGUAAUACGUAGGUGGCAAGCGUUAUCCGGAAUUAUUGGGCGUAAAGCGCGCGCAGGCGGUUUCUUAAGUCUGAUGUGAAAGCCCACGGCUCAACCGUGGAGGGUCAUUGGAAACUGGGGAACUUGAGUGCAGAAGAGAAAAGCGGAAUUCCACGUGUAGCGGUGAAAUGCGUAGAGAUGUGGAGGAACACCAGUGGCGAAGGCGGCUUUUUGGUCUGUAACUGACGCUGAGGCGCGAAAGCGUGGGGAGCAAACAGGAUUAGAUACCCUGGUAGUCC